GGGAGGGAAUGGGGAAAGUGGAACACAGCAGUUGCCAGCCUGCUCUUUUGAGGUUAUGAAUCGAAUGUAAGUCUCUUCAAGAACCUGCCUUUUGAGUGCAUUCCUUUGUCCAUCAACCCGGUAGAAAGUUUGACAAGGAGUCCAUUCAUUUAUUCUUUAGGUGUCUAUUGCGUAUCUACUAUGUCCGGGGUAGAGUGAUUGAUAUGCGCGUGAGCCCUUCUUCUUGAACAUUCCUGAAGAACUGUCACGCCCAGCUUUGUCACACCUGAAAUGUGUCUGCCAGCCUUUGUCUACCAGCCUUACCCCUACCAACGGCCGUUACUGCCCCCUCCAAGAUAUUUGAAGAAGGGAAUGAAUGAUCGGUUUAGGACCAUAGGUGGGUAUCCUGUGUGUCAUCUGCACAAAAGUAGGGCCCCCGUUUUGCAAUGUCACAGAGCAGGAAGGCCUGAGGAGGGAAUUUAGCCCAGCCGUCUGAAUCUGGGCUUGGCAGUGACCCUCUUUUUCUUACGGUAUUGACUUUGCUGAUAUUUAAGUAGCUCGAGCUUUGGACUUUUCCAUGUGAGGUUUUUGGGGGAUCUCCUCAAGGAUCUGCCUCUCCUGAAUUCUUGGUUUACCUCUGUUACUUGUUGUGAAUCUAUGACGGAUAAAUCAGCUCAUCUGUUUUUGAAGCCAUUUAAGUUCUUGUUCUGUGUUAUCUGUUAAGAAUAUGCGUGCCGUUGGUUUACUCUGUAGUUAUGUCAAGGCGUAUUUCCUUUAUUUGUCUUGUGUUGGUUCACAUUAAACUUUGAGGUUUGCAACCCAGGUCCAAAAGAAAAGGAUUUGGGGAAGGCGUUCCUGUUUCCGAAUUGCGUCUUUGUGAUUUUUUGUGUACCGUACAUGCCUGAAUAUGAAGUAAGGGAUUUUCAGUUAUCCCUCAGGAGAGAGAAGUCAUUUUAUAUUAAAAUUUUCAUCUGGUCUCUUAUAUUGCAGAAUAUUCACUCGGUUACUUUAUUUCAAAAACAAUAGGUAUUUGUGGCUUGAAAUAUUUUUCUUGACCCCAGCUACCUAUAAUAAUCUAAGUUUAUUAUAAUUGCUGGCUUUGCCUGGGAGUGGGAGGUUGACGCAUGCUCAUACAUUACUUAAAAUAACAUGUUUGGUUAUCUGCAGCUCUGUAUUGGAGACUAGCUCUGUAUGUUCUUGUUGCUAGAGCAAAGGGCAAUUAGUUGACCUCUGUCUGUACAAGCUUUAAUAAUGGGGUGUCUUUGUAAGCUUUGUUCCUUAGAGUUGAUAGGUUAUCUCCUCUCCCCAGGCUUCCUUAAGGAAGGUUGGGUGAUAGUGAUCAGGGCUUAAAGAGAGACUUUAGUGCCGCAGUUGGUGUAGACCAACAGCUUUAUAUAAGGUUCAUUUUCGAGUUCAUACCUUUAAAGCUGUCCCUGAUGAGGGCCACUUAUGGCUCUAUUUGUGGAUAGAAAUCCUAUUGUUGCUGAAAAGGGUAUAAGAAGUCCUGUUUACCUUAAUUCUCCAUCCUGGCCAGUCACUUGCAGUGACAGUCUUUUGGCUUCUGGAUAAGAUGAGACAUUUCUUUUUACUCAAUAAAGAUGAAGAAGACUCUUCGUUAAUAAAUGUUCAUACACACAUCUAAGGGAGAUCACUCAAUUUCACUGUAUAAAAAAGCAGUAAGAUCUCAAACGUAGAAUUGUAGAAGGAUGUGUUUGUGUCGUGUGCUAAACUCUGAAUCAUUUGUGAACUAUAUUCUUGGGAUAAAUCUUAAAAAAUUAUAAAAUGUAUAGAUAAGUUACCGUGUCCUUAAAACCAAAUGGCUUUCACUAAAUACAAUUCUCUCUAUACACAGUUACAUUCUUGUGUUCUUAUAGUUAAUAUGAUAUUAAUAUGACAUAAUUCCUCUUUAAGAUUAUUUUGUUUUGCACACACUUAGGAACUUUCCUGGAAAACUGACACCUGGGUUUCUCUGUGCCAUUUUGAAUGAUGUCCUUUAUUAGAAACUCGCUAAAGAAGACCAAAUGAAUUUUGCAUUUUCUUUCCUUUUUUUUUAGGCUCUGAGAGUGUGUAUGUGUCUGAGACUAUGUAGGUGUCUAAAAGCCUAGCAUGCUUAAAACCAUGGCUGAAGAGUUAUGCUUAACUGUAUACUUUGCAUGCAUUUGUGAUUUGAAAUAGGGAAAAAAAAAGUCAAAUCGGAGACAGCUUGAAUGGCAUGCUGUCAGUUUGGAGCUUCAUGAAUUGGCAAUGGUCUCAUUUAGGACCUUCAGAUGUGUCUCUGCCUGGACAGAAUGAGAACGUUUUGCAUGUUCUGGAGGAGACAGCCACUCCUUGCUGCUUCACAAUGGGCAGCGGUGCAUGACAGUUGCCCUUCAUUGCUGGUUUCUUGGAGCUUAACCUCUGACCCUCCACUUAGUCGCUGUGCAGCGGCUGGAGCAGGUCGGAGAUGUUGGUGAAUGACGGGCAUUGGCCUGCAACGUGCUUGUCAUUAUUCGACUGUCAAAAGGAGCCUGCCAUUGGUUUCCAUCCAGGUUUGAAACCUCUGUGCAACAGUCCAUAUUCCUUAACUUCCAGGGCUGUCAACAGCAUGAUCAAAUGUGCAUAAAAAAAAAUCAGAGUGCUGAAUAUAUCUUCAGUCAGAAGAUAGGAAGUUUCACCCUCCUCCUUUCUCUCUCUCUUUCUCUCUUUUCAUUUUUCUUUUGGUUGAAUAUAUUCCGAUGACUUUCACAGGGCCAAGAGGUUGAAUCUGUUGCCACGGUGAAAAAAGUGAACUGUUGUCUCAUGUGGUCCGAGUUUCAAACAGCACAAUGAGGAUCUGAGCAGAUCUGCCAGUUAAAACUCUCAGGCUUGUCUUGCAUAUCCUCUCAGCUUUCAGCCAUUGGUUUAAGGGACUGGGUGGUUUAAGGGACUGGAUCCCAGUGGUACCUGGGAUGAGCUGACAAGAUGAAACAUUUACUUUGGUUUUUAUGUGAUUUUGCAAAGGAAUGGAGAGGUCAGUUUGUACGAUUUGUAAAGCAGGGAUUGGGGAAAUUUAAAAUAACGAAGGGAGGAUAAGACUUUUUUUUUUUUCAUGGUAAAGAAGUUCAAACACAAGGAGUUUAAUUGGCUGUGAUCAAGUUUUAGAGACUUCAGAGGUCAAGCUUAGGCAAGGAGAUUCUUAGAUACACAGAAAUACGGCCGUCAAAGCCAUCUCUCCAUGUAAAUCUGAGACUCUGAAUGCAGAAGCAUCCCAAAGUAGAAAGGGAUGAGGAAAAGCCCAACCAUAUUCUUAAAUUUCUUCAUGUGCAGAAGUAGGGGUACUUCCGUCCUGUGGUGAGGACGAAAGGAGAGAUUCUGUUUGAGAAAUACUUGCUUUUGUGCAGUACCCUGGGCCCUCCACAGGCACUUCCUGGUUUCCUCUUUAUCCUUUUCUGAGCAGAAAAGAUUUAUCAAGGCACUGUCUGGGCAGAUAACAUACUCUAGAACUCAAGACAGUCAGUCUUUGCGUUUCAGCUCUUCGACACCCCCUCCCCACCACUGUUACAGAUUUUAGUUCAUAAUACCACGUUUUAGUCAAGCCCUCAAACCACAGUUUUGAGUGGUCUGCCUGCCUGUCUUCUCCUUCCUUCUCUCGCUCCACAAAUAUUUUUUAAGCUCUUACUGUGCAUUGAGCCAUGUUGUCAGAUCUGGAACCCAGCCAUGAACUAAACGGACCUACACCACAGCUCGAGGCAAUGCAGGAUCCCCGACCCACCGAGCGAGGCCAAGGAUUGAACCUGCAUCCUCACGAAUACUGGUUGGAUUGGUUUUCAUUGCACCACAAUGGGAACUCCACAAGGGUUGUGUUUUUGUUGGUCUGUUGUAUUUUCAGUAUCUGGC
ensembl:lncRNA